rnacentral:rRNA from 1 species
CCUACGGGCGGCUGCAGUGGGGAAUAUUGGACAAUGGGGGGAACCCUGAUCCAGCCAUGCCGCGUGUGUGAAGAAGGCCCUCGGGUUGUAAAGCACUUUCAGGGAGGAAGAACGCCUGGUGGUUAAUACCCAUCAGGAAAGACAUCACUCACAGAAGAAGCACCGGCUAACUCCGUGCCAGCAGCCGCGGUAAUACGGAGGGUGCGAGCGUUAAUCGGAAUUACUGGGCGUAAAGCGCGCGUAGGUGGCUUGAUAAGCCGGUUGUGAAAGCCCCGGGCUCAACCUGGGAACGGCAUCCGGAACUGUCAAGCUAGAGUGCAGGAGAGGAAGGUAGAAUUCCCGGUGUAGCGGUGAAAUGCGUAGAGAUCGGGAGGAAUACCAGUGGCGAAGGCGGCCUUCUGGACUGACACUGACACUGAGGUGCGAAAGCGUGGGUAGCAAACAGGAUUAGAUACCCGGGUAGUC